GCACUGAAGCCAAUUUGGGAUCCAUCUCAUUUUCAAGCUACGACCUGCCCAAGAUCACAUAAUUUCUCAAAAACCUUUGAGAUCUCAUUCAAACGUUACAGAUUUGCGGCUUCAUGCUUUCUAGAGAUAAACUGUGACUUUUCCCCAAGGACUGGAGGAUUUUAUUUUCUUUUCCGCUGAAACUCUUAGAGCUGUACGACUGCAGAAGCUAAACAAAAUGCAGAACUACAAGCAUCACAUCUGCCAUGCUCUUAGGUGUAUUGAGGAUGUUCUGUGGGCUCAAAGCAUUCCUGAGCACCCUCUGGGACAGGCAAGCUGGUGUGAAAGCAGAGAAGGAGCAACCCUAGGAAUAACUGCAUCCUGAAAAUGUCAAACUUUCUUAUCCUUUUCAUUGUCACUAGAGCUGAAAUAAAUGCAGAAGACGGGUGAGCCUCCUGAUGAUGUCAAGAAAGCAAAUGUAUUACUUGUGCUUGAAAAUGCAGGAGAAUCUGAGGGGAGAGAGGCCAUAGAGGAUUUACAGAAAGCGCUCAGAAGGAAGCAGACUGUUUGGAUCAGGCAACAGUCUACAGCUAUGUGUCCAAAACAAGAGCUUUUGUUCCAAACUGGGCUGAUGCAUGCCAUCAAAUAUGCGAAGAAUGCAGGGCCGUUUGUGGUGCUACUACAGAUACCAUCACAGGAAAGCCAAGCACACAAAUUCCUGUUGAAAUAACACUACAGUUAAGAUGAAGACAACCAAAAUAAAGCAAAUUCAAAGCAGGAGGAUGCCAUACUCUGCAAGUGUGAUACUGUUUGAUAUCAAAUGAUCUCUGCUUUUCUUUGAAAUCCACCAUUUGCAGACAUUUCCCUCAAGCAAGUGCCGUGGUUCAGGCAAUUAGCUGUGAAACCUUUCAGGGUUGAAGGGUUGAGGUUAGUUACAAGAAGGGGGUUAAGAGUUUUGAAUCAGCUAGUGUGCUUUCAGACAAAAUCUAUGAAGGCUGCAUCCCCUACAUCAAGAGUUGAUGAUUUUCCAAUUGACAUUGUUUUCAAAAUCAAACAUGUCCAUAUAUGUGAAAGCUGUCUGUGUAAACAUGUAUGAAUCGGAGGACAUUUUGCACUGGUUUGUGAAAAAGCUCUGUCAAUUGCUCUGAGCAAUCUUCUUACUCAGUUCAGUGGUAUUUUUGUAACAACACCACAAUUAACAGUUAAGAUUGCAUUCACACUUUAGAUUGAAGUGGGAAUUAUUUUUGUUGUUAGGCAUGAAAAUAGUGAUUGAACAUAACUAAAAAUAACACUGUUUUCUUUCUAGAAAAUUGUAUGGAAAUAUAUUCAUUCCUUUGGGAAUUCAAGCAAAUUUAGAGUAAUGCUUUUUAAAUUUUAUAACAUCUGUAACACUUGAACUGUCAUUUUAGUGCUUGAAACUCUAAGCAGGCAUAAAUGGAAAUUCACUCCAAUAGACUGACUACCUUGAAAAUACAUUAAAUGAGCAAAAUUUCUAACACACUGCAUCAUUAGUAGUAGCUAAAGAAUUAAAAACAAAACAAAACUCACAAAGCACUAAAUCUGCCAAAUGGCAUAUCUGAGCUCUCACACUUGCCAGUUUUGGAAUUAGCUUCUUUGGGCAGCUGGUAGAGUUAGUUUUCAGUAAAGCAAAUAUUUUGCAGAAGUGAAUUUAUCUUUCAGUCCAGAAUUUGAGGCAACACAAGGAGCUACAUUUCUUUGUCAAGACAACAGCUCAAGAGGUUGCUGUGUCAGGACCACCAUCUGCUGAUGCUUGUCAGCACACUGUAGUGGGAGAUAUUUUUCAUCGCCCUUUGGGGGUGAACUAAAGAAAAUCUCUUUUGCUUGCUGUGUGCAACUCUAAGAUAUUGUAAGUUCACCUGGAGAAUAGGUGUUCAUAGCUACAAGGGCUGCUCCAAAAGUAAUGCCUCCAAUUGUAUGAUGUUGGCCUGUCGUCAGGAGGCGGAUGUUGGUGGUAUGGGAGUAGAGGUUGAACCUUCCCACUGAUAUCCCAUUA